GGGUCAGUAGGUUGGUCGUGCCACCGGUACGUACUGGUCUCACUGAUUCUUCCUUCCUGAAGAACCGUAAUGCCAUUAAUUUGGUGUUGCGGGGAAACAGGACUGUUACUUUGAAAAAAUUAGAGUGUUUAAAGCAAGCUAACGCUCGAACACAUUAGCGUGGAAUAAUGAAAUAGGACGAUCGAUCCUAUUUUGUUGGUUUCUAGGAUUGACGUA
rnacentral:rRNA from 1 species